CACCAAUCAGCACCCUGUGUUUAGCUCAAGGUUUGUGAAUGCACCAAUCAACACUCUGUAUCUAGCUGCUCUGAUGGGGCCUUGGAGAACCUUUGUGUCCAUACUCUGUAUCUAACUAAUCUGAUGGGGAUGUGGAGAGCCUUUGUAUCUAGCUCAGGGAUUGUUAAGGCACCAAUCUGCGCCCUGUCAAAACAGGCCACUGGGCUCUACCAAUCAGCAGGAUGUGGGUGGGACCAGAUAAGAGAAUAAAAGCAGGCUGCCCGAGCCAGCAGUGGUAACCCGCUGGGUCCCCUUCCACACUGUGGAAGCUUUGUUCUUUCGCUCUUUGCAAUAAAUCUUGCUACUGCUCAGUCUUUGGGUCCACGCUGCUUUUAUGAGCUGUAACACUCACCGCAAAGAUCUGCAGCUUCACUCCUGAGCCCAGCCAGCCCACCGGGAGGAAGGAACAACUCCAGACGCUCUGCCUUAAGAGCUGUAACCCUCACCCUGAAGGUCUGCAGCUUCACUCCUGAGCCAGCGAGAUCACGAACCCACCAGAAGGAAGAAACUCCGAACACAUCUGAACAUCAGAAGGAACAAACUCCAGACGCGCCACCUUAAGAGCUGUAACACUCACCGUGAAGGUCUGCAGCUUCACUCCUGAGCCAGCGAGAUCACGAACCCACCAGAAGGAAGAAACUCCAGACGCGCCACCUUAAGAGCUGUAACACUCCCCCUGAAGGUCUGCAGCUUCACUCCUGAGCCAGCGAGAUCACGAACCCACCAGAAGGAAGAAACUCCGAACACAUCUGAACGUCAGAAGGAACAAACUCCAGAUGUGCCACCUUAAGAGCUGUAACACUCCCCGUGAAGGUCUGCAGCUUCACUCCUGAGCCAGCGAGAUCACGAACCCACCAGAAGGAAGAAACUCCGAACACAUCCGAACAUCAGAAGGAACAAACUCCAAAGGCGCCACCUUAAAAGCUGUAGCACUCACUGCGAGGGUCCGCGGCUUCAUUCUUGAAGUCAGUGAGACCAAGAACCCACCAAUUCCGGACACAAAACCCCGUCUCUACUAAAAAAUACAAAAAAAUUAGCGCGGUGGGGUGGCCGGCGCCUGUAGUCCGGCUACUCAGGAGGCUGAGGCAGGAGAAUGGCGGGAACCCGGGAGGCGGAGCUUGCAGUGAGCCAAGAUGGCACCACUGCACUCCAGCCUGGGGGACAGAGUGACAUUCUGUCUCAAAAAAAAAAAGAAAAAAACCAUUUGUUUAAAAACAAAUAGGAGGGAGAGAAAAAGAAAAAAAUAACUAUUGGGUAUUGGGUACUAGGCUUAGUACCUAGGUAAUGAAAUAAUCUCUACAUCAAACCUCCAUGACGCAAGUUUACCUAUAUAACAAACCUGCACAUGUAGCCCUGAACCUAAAAUAAAAGUUUAAAGAUAAAUAAAUAAAUAAAUAUUAAUUUGUGGAUGUAUUAUAAUGCCAAAAAAAAUCAACAUCUUGACCUUCUGUCAGAUCAACUGUGUGAGAAUCUCUCACAGGUAGGGACUGGGGAUCAAUAUUUCUUAAAAAGUCUCUGCAAUGAUUCUAAUGUGCCACCAGACCUGCGAACUGUUAUCUCAAAGGAAGGGACACGCCAUCGCUUUUUACUGUUGCCAUCUUGGACAUCCAAACAAGGACAAACCUUAAGAAUUGUGGAGCCAGAAGAUAGAAUUGUGGGUUCCUGAAAUAUUGCUGGUACCUUAAACCAGCUGACUUUUAUAUAAGAUCUAAAAUGUCGACCAUCUUCUAGCAUGGUAUUUUAGGUCUUUUUCACAGCAGCCAAACCUGUAUCUUACCUAAACACAGAUUUUGGUCCUGAUUCCAUCACUGUCACUAAUUGGGUGUUUUAUAAAAGAGAAAUUCCUUAAUUCUGUCCCAUUGAACUAUUUCAUCUUUAGAAAUGGGCGUGGGCCGGGCGGGGUGGCUCAUGCCUGUAAUCCCAGCAGCACCUUGGGAGGCUGAGGCGGGCGGAUCACGAGGUCAAGAGAUUGAGACCAUCCUGGCCAACAUGGUGAAACCCCUUCUCUACUAAAUAUACAAAAAUUAGCUGGGCAUGGUGGUGCAUGCCUGCAGUCCCAGCUACUCGGGAGGCUGAGGCAGGAGAAUCACUUGAACCUGGGAGGCGGAGGUUGCAGUGAGCCAAGAUCAUGCCACUGUACUCCAGCCUGGGCGACAGAGCAAGACUCUGCCUCAAAACAAAAAAAAAAAAAAAAAAAAAAAGAAGAAGAAAAGAAGAAAAAGAAAUAAAUAAAGAAAGAAAUGGGUGUGAUUACUCUUUUGCAGUCACUUUAAGGACUAAUAAUACUAAAGAUUCCAGAGCAAAUGCCAGCUUCUAUGUAAAGAGGACCAGAAUUCAAACCAAACUAUUAACCUUUAACUUGUUUAAACUCCACAAUAACAAUCUCAACAAAUGAUAGUGUUCACAUUUUACAAAUACUAAUAUCAGGUCCACAGUGAGGUUUAGAGAUUUCACCAAGGUCAAAUAGCUAGCAAAUGUUGAAGCUGGGAUACUAACCCAAACGUUUCAGCUUCAGUCUGUGCUUUUAUCUAUACUACUAUAAUAAGUAUCAAUUACAUGAAAAUUAAUAUGUGAACACACACAUGUUAGCAUGCAUAUCGCAUUGUAGGCAUUAAACGAAGGUUUACUUCUUCUCCCCUUCUAAUCUUUACUGAAAAAACCCACUUGUGCACAUGCACACACAUGCAUACACAUACCUUUUAAUCUUCCUUCUUGGCAUAAGUAAACGGUAGUUUUCCAGAGAAUUAUAUUGAGGCUAGGAGUCAAAAGGCAAUGAGGGAAAAAAAAUUGGAGGCAUUGAUGGGAACAAAAAAAAAAUCUCUACCUAAUGUAAAAAGGAGAUAACCGAUUUCUUUCACCAAUCUCCUUUAGCAUCCCCAUUCAAAAACAUAAAGCCAAAUCUGUGUCCACUGUCUGAACACAAAAUUCAGGAUGCAACAAUGAAUGUUCACUGACAGUACUUGUAGCAGUAAAGUAGCAUGUAAUUGACAAACAAAAGUUAAAAACGACAUCCACAGUAAGAAUACUCAGUCCCGAAAAAAUUGAAAUGUGGAUGCUCCGGGGACAUAAAAAUGUCACAAAUGGAAUCCAUGCCAAAAAGAGAUAUUCCUCCCUAAACACACUAAAGGGAAACGCUGUCACAUACCAGACACAUAGACAGGAAAAGAUGUCCUGGAGAGGUGGAGAGAAGAGUAGACUCCUGGAACAUAUGGUAAUAAAAGAUGAGAAACUUGAAUGCAAAGGAGGGAUAUGACUGACCCACAUGUCAUAAAAGAUGACACACUUGAGAUGCUGUACGGGAAAAGAUGACUUAUCAGAGAAGUUAGUAGGUAAAAUAUGGAAUGUUUUACCAUUACAGAGACAGACGCUGACUUGUGAAUAGCUCUUGUGAGUCAGCUUACCAUGCUUCUUUUGUUCCUUUCAUGCUGGGGG
rnacentral:lncRNA from 10 species